AUUGAACGCUGGCGGCAGGCCUAACACAUGCAAGUCGAGCGAGCGGCGGACGGGUGAGUAAUGUCUGGGGAACUGCCCGAUGGAGGGGGAUAACUACUGGAAACGGUAGCUAAUACCGCAUACCAUCAGAUGUGCCCAGAUGGGAUUAGCUAGUAGGUGGGGUAAAGGCUCACCUAGGCGACGAUCCCUAGCUGGUCUGAGAGGAUGAACAGCCACACUGGAACUGAGACACGGUCCAGACUCCUACGGGAGGCAGCAGUGGGGAAUAUUGCACAAUGGGCGCAAGCCUGAUGCAGCCAUGCCGCGUGUGUGAAGAAGGCCUUCGGGUUGUAAAGUACUUUCAGCCGGGAGGCGUUACCCGCAGAAGAAGCACCGGCUAACUCCGUGCCAGCAGCCGCGGUAAUAC
rnacentral:rRNA from 1 species